rnacentral:misc_RNA from 1 species
UCGUCCUCUCCAACGACGAGCCUCCAAAGAUACCCCGGGACCAGUGGCGGUGACGCAAUGUUGCCGCAAUCACAUUUUGACACGCCUCUAGCCAACAACCUGCACCUCUCAGCAUAAAUCGCACUAUACGAUCGAUGGACGUAAUUUCAUCGAUCCUUGUUAAACCCGUAUCAGGCGUUUUCUCGAUUUAAUUAUCAUACGUAUAAGCACUAAAACGUGGGAAUGCAGCCCCAACACGAUACAUAUGAACAUAAAGAUUGAUGAACAAGACCAACAAUGGGAACUGAUAGAUAAGAUUAGGAAUCCAAAUGGGGCCUGGUUGCUCGCAAAACGAUGUAUUAUGUAUACGGAAUAAAUGGAAUAGAGAGCAGC